UACGGAGGGUGCAAGCGUUAAUCGGAAUUACUGGGCGUAAAGCGUGCGUAGGCGGUUGCCUAAGUCAGAUGUGAAAGCCCCGGGCUUAACCUGGGAACUGCAUUUGAUACUGGGCGACUAGAGUUUGAUAGAGGAGAGUGGAAUUUCAGGUGUAGCGGUGAAAUGCGUAGAGAUCUGAAGGAACACCAGUGGCGAAGGCGACUCUCUGGAUCAAAACUGACGCUGAGGUACGAAAGCGUGGGUAGCAAAC
rnacentral:rRNA from 1 species